rnacentral:tRNA from 1 species
CAGGAAAUAGUUUAAAAAAUAUUAAUUUUGGAGAUUAAAGUUAGAAGAUUUCUCUUUUUUUCCUGA